CCAGACUCCUACGGGAGGCAGCAGUGGGGAAUAUUGCACAAUGGGCGAAAGCCUGAUGCAGCCAUGCCGCGUGUGUGAAGAAGGCCUUCGGGUUGUAAAGCACUUUCAGUCAGGAGGAAAGGGUGUGAGUUAAUACCUCACAUCUGUGACGUUACUGACAGAAGAAGCACCGGCUAACUCCGUGCCAGCAGCCGCGGUAAUACGGAGGGUGCGAGCGUUAAUCGGAAUUACUGGGCGUAAAGCGUACGCAGGCGGUUUGUUAAGCGAGAUGUGAAAGCCCCGGGCUCAACCUGGGAACUGCAUUUCGAACUGGCAAACUAGAGUGUGAUAGAGGGUGGUAGAAUUUCAGGUGUAGCGGUGAAAUGCGUAGAGAUCUGAAGGAAUACCGAUGGCGAAGGCAGCCACCUGGGUCAACACUGACGCUCAUGUACGAAAGCGUGGGGAGCAAACGGGAUUAGAUACCCCGGUAGUCCACGCCGUAAACGAUGUCUACUAGAAGCUCGGAACCUCGGUUCUGUUUUUCAAAGCUAACGCAUUAAGUAGACCGCCUGGGGAGUACGGCCGCAAGGUUAAAACUCAAAUGAAUUGACGGGGGCCCGCACAAGCGGUGGAGCAUGUGGUUUAAUUCGAAGCAACGCGCAGAACCUUACCAGCCCUUGACAUACCAAUCGCGGUUAGUGGAGACACUUUCCUUCAGUUCGGCUGGAUUGGAUACAGGUGCUGCAUGGCUGUCGUCAGCUCGUGUUGUGAAAUGUUGGGUUAAGUCCCGUAACGAGCGCAACCCUUGUCCUUAGUUACUAACAUUAAGUUGAGAACUCUAAGGAGACUGCCGGUGACAAACCGGAGGAAGGCG
rnacentral:rRNA from 14 species